rnacentral:rRNA from 1 species
UGAGUAACACGUAUCCAACCUGCCGUCUACUCUUGGACAGCCUUCUGAAAGGAAGAUUAAUACAAGAUGGCAUCAUGAGUUCACAUGUUCACAUGAUUAAAGGUAUUCCGGUAGACGAUGGGGAUGCGUUCCAUUAGAUAGUAGGCGGGGUAACGGCCCACCUAGUCUUCGAUGGAUAGGGGUUCUGAGAGGAAGGUCCCCCACAUUGGAACUGAGACACGGUCCAA